CCUACGGGUGGCAGCAGUGGGGAAUAUUGCACAAUGGGGGAAACCCUGAUGCAGCGACGCCGCGUGAAGGAAGAAGUAUUUCGUAAUGUAAAGCCCUAUCAGCAGGGAAGAAAAUGACGGUAUCUGAGUAAUAAGCCCCGGCUAACUACGUGCCAGCAGCCGCGGUAAUACGGAGGGGGCAAGCGUUACCCGGAUUCACUGGGUGUAAAGAGAGCGUAGACGGGAGUGCAAGUCAGAAGUGAAAGGCGGGGGCUCAACCACAGGACUGCACUGGAAACUGUACGGCUGGAGUGCGGGAGAGGUAAGUGGAAGUCCUGGUGUAGGGGUGAAAUGCGUAGAUAUUAGGAGGAACACUAGUGGCGAAGGCGACUUACUGGACUGUAACUGACGUUGAGGCGCGAAAGCGUGGGGAGCAAACAGGAUUAGAUACCCCUGUAGUC
rnacentral:rRNA from 1 species